AAAAAAUUAACGAGCCAUUUCAUCUUGUAAGUAGCACAAAUUUUGGGAAUUCACAAGCGUGCUCUCAUGUAACAACAAGUCCUACCCGAUUUUCACUCUCUCGUCUCCCUGUCUUUGGUGUCAAUUUUGAAUAUGUCCACCCUGUGAAAAAUCAGACGAAACAUCCUCGUUAUGCGUGCAAUUAACAAGAAGAAACAUCAGUGUUCUUCAUCAUCAUCAUCUGUCAUGAAUUCUUCCUUAUCCCUGCAAAAUCAAAACCAUAUUCUCUCAUUGAUCACACAUACACCAACAUCCCAAUGAACAAAAAUGGACGAGGAUAAAGAGGAAAUACUAAUCAUUUGAUCUUCCUGUCCUGUCCGUCAAGUUUCAACACAC
rnacentral:lncRNA from 1 species